rnacentral:rRNA from 1 species
AACGUAGGUACCGAGCGUUAUCCGGAUUUACUGGGCGUAAAGCGCGUUCAGGCGGUUUGGCAAGUCGGGCAUGAAAUCUCUCGGCUCAACCGGGAGAGGUUGUCCGAUACUGCUGGACUUGAGGGCAGUAGAGGGUGGUGGAAUUCCGGGUGUAGUGGUGAAAUGCGUAGAUAUCGGGAGGAACACCAAUGGCGAAGGCAGCUCGCUGGGACGGUACUGACGCUGAGGCGCGAAAGCGUGGGGAGCAAACAGG